rnacentral:tRNA from 1 species
ACAUUGGUGAUUCAGUAGUAGAUUUCUUCCUUCCAUGCAGGAGACCUGGGUUUGAUUCCCAGCCAAUGAA